ensembl:lncRNA
CAACGGUACAUCCUGACAGUGGGCAUUUGCCCAAAGUAUCCGUUGUGACUGUGCCAUCAGAUAAUGUUCAGAAGAAAUUACUGAAGUCCAUUCACUCUCUUUUCCUGCUGGAGUUCUGUUUAGUAAUGAUAAUAAAAAGAGUGCACGAUCCAAACAGACAAAAACAAACAAACAAACAACAACAACAAAAAAAAACAACCCAACCUUCUCCUCCACUUCCCAACCUGAAUGAAUGGAUAAAUAAAUAAAUAAACGAAAACUGAGGGGGAGCCAAGGAGUCCUAAGAGCAAUAUCCACUAUGAAUUUUAUUACAGGAGUUCAGGAAAGAAAAUAAUUGUUUACAAGAUCAGUAUCACAAGGACUUGGAGAAUGUCCAGGGGAGCAGAUACGAGGGAAAUGAUGAAUAGCUUGGAAACACUUGAGCUGGGAAGUUUUCUUCUCGUUACAGCAAUGCUCCCUUAGAUGCAGUUCUCUCUUGAGCUGAAACAGAACCGUACUUUGUAGCUGCUACUUAAGUCCUCCAUAAAUUCUCCAAGCUUUCUGAGCGGAGCAGAGCCUCCACCACGGCAGCCAAGGACCUGGCCCUGUCGGUGAGCUCUAAAAGCUGGCUCCAGGUUCAGGUUUCCCUAAGGCCGCAAAAGUAGUUCAUCUGUGGUUGCUCUGGUGGAUGCAGAAAGUCAGACCUCCAUAAUGAACCAAAAAAAGGCUUAAAGAAAAUCCUAGAACGUGUUUCUCUUCUCCAGAAAAAGAAAUAUUAAAAGAGAAUUGUAAAUAGCUGAAGUCUGUAAGAAACGGAAUAGCUGUUCCUCCGACGUCUCUGCAGCUUAACAAAAUGUUACAGCCCAGUGGAACAAGCACUUAAUUUCAGAAUCUGAAUCAACGUUUAUUGUGGCAAAGGAAAUGGUAUUUUUGUUAAAAGUAUGCUAUUCGUCAGGGGCUUUCCUGUAUAUGGCUUUUUUAUUCAGCCAAAGUGAGGCUUUCAUUUUAUUUCUGGUCUCGCAAAUACAGAUUUUCUCUCUGCUUGCAUUUUGAAGGAGUCAGAGAGCUUUUGAAAGGUCAUUCAUGUACAUUCAUUAUGAGCUCUGCUACGAAUUCUGUAUAUUUAGCUCACGGACAAAUUGAGUGGCCACUUACAGCAGAGGUCUAGAUGGAAAAUGGCCUUGAUUGAUACCUGGGUAACCAUGGGUUUAGAGAAAUACUGUUUAGGACCAGAUGGUCUUGAAUGGCAGCCCAUGGUCCUUCUCAGGUAUUCUUGUGGCAAAGCUUUACUGCCUCAGGGUGAACGAAUGUGAACACUGAUGCAAUUACAGGUGCAUAUGACAAUAAAGCCAAAGAACUGUAAUUUGAUCAAUAAAGUAUACAUAUCUUGUUGAUACAAAAUGUGACCCAGAUUGGCAGAACUCACUGGCCAGCGAGCAAUGGUCUCCUUAGCAGCACAGUGAAAGUACCUCUGCCUUGUGCUGCUCUAGAGAGGCCUGCCUGGAUAACGCCUGACACCCAGCCCUGGUUGGACCAGGAGAGUGGUGGUGGGCACCAAACAAAAAGGAGGUGAUGGAAGCUGAGAUCUGUGCAAUAAGACAACAAAGCUCAACAUUUCUUUUAACAUGAUCAGCAGGGAGAGGGCAGCGGGUAAGAGUACAAUGGGAAAGUCAGAGGAGAGAUUCUGAACUAAAAACAAAAUAGAAAGGAAAAGUGCUGCGUGGGAGAGAGGAAGGGAAAGAUGCUAGACAGCAGAUAGAAAGGGGAAAUCAGUGCAACAGAGCUGUGGCUGAUGGAGUUACAUUGGUUGUAUAGUGGGAAAUGAGAAAAAGGACAGUAAAUGAGUUUUGUAAUAGGAAUGGAGAACCACAGACAGAACAAAGGAAGAAGACAGGGAACAGAGACAGAAAAUGUUAUUUUAAGAAAAAGGAAUAAGUAAAGGGAAACUGAAAGAAGGUCAAACAGUUAUUGGUGUCAGGAACAAAAAUGAUCAAUGUGAAAGCGUAUAGAAAUAUGAAUACGUGAAGACAGUGGAAAAAAUGGAGAGAGGUUAAUCAGAAUAUCACACAAUUAUAUGGGAACGGGGAGAGGUGUAAGAACAGACAAGAGAGGAUCAACAGUAAGAAAUCACACAGGAUAAGAUAUCUGGGUUUGCAGUUCACUGUAAUGGCUUGGCACUCAAUCAGCUGGCUAUUAAAGUACUGUGACUGCUGAGUCUGAAAGGGGUGCACUUCUGCCUUUUCACAUUUGGGUAUGAAAUGACCCCAUGACUAACUGCAGACAAUGCUGGGAAGGCGCGCUCUGAGGUGGCAGAAGGGGAGAGUUCCCCAUGGGAAGAAGGAGCAGUUUCUUCCCAAAAAGCUCCACUUGGGGGCUUCAGCUCAAAGUCAAGGCUAAGCUUUCUGUAAUGGCUCUUUUAACAGGAGCUUGCACAGGAAGGAGUUUUGUAAUCGAUAGACCUCAAUGCAUUUACAUAUUGCUGCAGAAAUACUAAUUUGGAACAGGAGGCACGCAGCAACAGAGACACUCAGCUGCUCUUCCUGUAUGCUCAACUCCAGCAGACCAAAGUGAGCUGGAGGCAACAGAUGUCAGGUCAGCACUAAGUUAUCUGUUGUGCCAUUGGUUGGACCGCUUUCGUUUCCUCAUUGGAGCUGCUGCUUUUCUAAAUAAGGAUUUUGGUGGGCAGUGACUCGGGUAGCAUCACCUGGUCAGUAUGGUGAAAUCACUCAAUGUAGCCCACUUGCUUUCAUUUCCAAGCACUGAUUGUGGCCCAUGGUGUGUCUUUGUGCCUUCUGCAGGAGCAGCUCCCUCCCAAGCACCUUCUGGUCGAGAUCCCCAGCUGCCAUCUCUGGAAAGUGGGGCCAGCUGCAGCCACCCCAGGUCUCACCGAGUUGGAAAGAGCUGAGAUGGAGUCACUGAGAGGUCUGACUUAGGGCAUGUUUUCUUCCCAUGGGGAAGCUCUCUUGCUCAAUCCCAUGCUGCACUCGUUCCACCAUGUGUGCAUAAGCACUCAGAGAAAUAGAUCCUUGAAGGUUCCCCAAAGAAAAUGAAUUAUUUACCCAUUAUUUACACUCUUGCCAAGCACCUUACUACUCAACUAUGGCAGUGUGUGUGCUUUCUCUUAUUCUCCUGCUGGAGUGCUCCUAUGUAGGAUUAAUUUACUCUUCAGUGAAGCAGAAAGAUGUUGGCAGAAUAACUGAUUUGAUAGCUCAGUGAUUCUGUCAUGCUCUUGUUAUGCAGGGGACCAAGUCUUCUCUCUGGCCUAAAAAAGCAUUACUCCUGACAGUCUAGGAGACACUGCAGGCCAUUUGCCUCCUACCCCUAGAAGCACCACAGUGACAAAUAGGUGAAAAAAAAAUUAUUAUUAUUAUUAUAUUUUGGUGGCAAGAACAAAACUACCAAAAAUGAAAUGUUUUAAUGUGUCUGCAUUGGAAAGGGAAAAAAAGCUCUGAUGAGAUACAAGUUUCAUCUCAGAACUUGGAACAGUAUGGUUUUUAUCUUCAUUUGAGGCUAUUUUUAACAGAAUGUUCCUCUAAAAUAAUGCUUAUGAGGAGGUUUGUUUCUCUUUAAGUCUCUUCAAUUUUGAGCUGAGUGUUUAUUUAUGAACUGCUAGCAAAUAAUAUAAAAUAAAAUAAAAACUACACAGCUUUCCAUCAAUGCAAGAAUUAUUCCAAUUCCAAGAAUUACACAUUUUUUCACUGAAUGGCAUGACAUUGAUUUGAAUGAGAGAUGUUAAAUUGAAAAAAAAAAAAAAAGAAAGAAAGAAAGAAAGAAAGGAGAAGGAACUGCUGCAGGCUGUGGAUGAAUUACUCAAUUGAGUAAGGACUGGAAGAGCAAAACACAGAAGAGCAAAACACAGACAGGGACGCAGAAGGUUGCUGUAUAAUGCACUUAAUGACUGAGACCUUAUCAGUGCCAAACCAGGAAUUCAGAUCCAGUGACAAAGUCAGCAAAUACCUCGCAGUACCAUGCUAAAUCUUCACAUCCAGCUCGAAAAAAACAGCAAUUUAUAGAAAGGGCUCAGACUGUCUCAAUGUUUCAGUAGUUGUUACAAGCUGUAAUACUUAGGAACAUUACUGCACAGCUGCAGUGUGUUUCUGAAAAAGGGGAAGGGAUGCUUCUCUGUGAAACAGUCAUUUAGCAGCUGGUUUAUUACUGGUUUUGCUAUCAGUUACCUUUCUCUGCAGGCAAAUCACCAUUUCCCUUUGAGAUGAAUAAGGAUGUAUCCCAGUACCUACUAAAGGUAAAAGGGGUUUUCUUUCCCUGCUUUCAGUGGAUCUCCUGGUGAGCACUGUGGAGAUAAAGCUUUGAUGUGUUAGGCUGUCAAUAUUUUUAACCGGCCAUGUUGAUAAGACUGCUGCUGAACCUCUGUAGUAUUUCGUAGCAGGAAGACAGAAAUGAUUUCUCCAGACUGACUCCUCUUCUGGGUACCACAGCCACAAAAGCAUUCGGAGUGAGUUAUUCAAGACCUCAUUAGACUAAACUGCCUACACUUAUUUGCUGCAUACAAGAUUCAGGAGCCGAUAUCUCAAAUGCUGUCAAUAACUAUAGAUCAGGGUGCGCACACACACAUGUACACUAUUAUGUUAUGGUUAGAGAGUACAGUGGGGAACAGAUAAGCACAAAAACAAAAAUUAAGAAAAAUUUUCAUAUAUCAAACAAACAAACAAACAAGCAAAAACAUUGAUCUUACUGUCCAUAAUUAAAUCUGAAUGAUUCCAAGAUGCUACUAAAGUGACCUGGAUUUUCAUCCCAAUCAGCUGACUGACACAGUUUAUGUGUAAUAACUCUCAGACUUCCUUUGCUCAAAGUUUCCAGCAUUAACAAAAAAAAAUACUCUGGUCUGAAACAUACAUAAAUAUAGAAAUAUCUGCUACAAAUGUAUCUGAAACAGCCAUAGACCCAGGCCUUAUUAAAUUAUUAAAUUUCUCCCCAGUUUUCUUUCCCACUCUUUGAGUGGUAAAGUGGUCUCCAAGUAGAAGUCAGUUGUGAGUAAAAUGUUGGGAAGAUGCAUCCAGCUGACAAAGCACCCCCAAGAAAAGGUAAAGGAAAAGAAACAACAAAAUUUGUCGAAUCAGACCCCAGAAGCUCCAGUUAAUUCUGGAAAAUGCCUGAUGAAGACUUGUCAGAAUAAGGCUAUGGACUGUCUAUAUAAGGCUAUGGCUGACAAUGCUCAGGUCAUUCAUUCAAGCAAUGAAACCAGUUCAAGGAAGACAGUUAUGACAAAUACAAGUAGAUUAAUCAUUUCAGUGACACACUCACUGCUUUAGGCUCAUUGCAGCUUAACCUAGCAGAGCUGCAGGAGGCCUCAGGACUCCAAAGUGUGAGCAAAAAGCCCAGCAGUUUUAGAGGUGUUGUGCUGGAGGUGGCACGUGUGGUGAAAGCUGUGAGAGUGGAGAAAAGCCGUGAUGAUGAGUGGAUGCUGGCUCCAAUGUGCUUCUGUAGCUUCUGUUACUGCUCUCUGGGGCUUAGGUUUGUUGGAAUUAUUUCUGUGGUUGCUUUCCAAAUGUUUCUGGAAAUUUCAGUACCAGCCUUGAGGCUCACUGGCUGGAUGUUGGCAUGACUCAAGAAGGAAAAAUGCAUCCAGAGUUUCCAGCGGGGACGUUACUUUUGGUUUGGUUGUGAUAGAAUCUGAGGAAUAUAUGUAUUUUUUUUUCUGGUUUGGUUAGAGGCCUAAUUGUCAUGUCAUCCUGUGAUAUAAAUUCAAGAGAAAUAUAUGCAUCUGGAAAAGUGUACUAUGACAACCCCAGUAUCACCAGGACUUUGAAUUAACUGCAUUCUGUUGACAUAUUCCUUGAAAGCUCACAGGUAUAAAUUCCAAUACAAAACACAGGGAUCUGCAUUCUCUGCUCUGUUGUGCUCUCCAUGCAUUAAACAGACUGUGUUAAACAGGCAUUGGAAAUUGCAGGCAACUUCAAAAUACUACAAACUUGCUGUGACAUGCUAUGCGUUGGUCUUAUGGAUCCCGUAUUGCAUCUCAGUAAGAGCUAGAACAGGAAAAGAGUGAAAAGGAACAGAAGGGAGAUGAUGUGCUUCAGUCAUUCUUAAGUCACCCAAAUAAAUGCCUGUUGGUAUCACUGCCAUUAAUCCCCCUCGGCUGGUCUAACCAGGGACAGAGGAGAUUCAAAGACAUACAGUGAAGUUCAAGGCACUUCAUUUCAUUUGGUGGAAAUUGUAUGUAGUUGUUUACGUAGAUCUGGACCUUAAUGUUUUUUGGUGAUUGUUUUAUAAAUAUGUGCAGGCACUUCCAAAACAAACCAAGGAGGUGACUGGAGUAAUUUCUUCUGCAGUACAUUUAGAUUCAGAGCACUCUGCUGAUGGAGAAAGAGGGAAAUCAGUUACAAUACACCCUGCUCCCCAACAAAGACACUCCCAACACUGGAGACUGACUGGCUUUCCGAGAGGAGAUGAGGUCAGAUCCAAGUAGCAGUGAAGUUAUUUAGAGCUGAGAAAAGAAACACGUUUGAAUUUUAGGGUGGAAAUAGGUCUAUGUUGAGGUUUCAGAAGCAGGGCAACAUUCUCAGAGAGGUGAGAAAUGGAAAAUAUUUUCAUGGCAAUAGUUUGGGCAGGCUGAACAGACGGAGGGAGAAAACUGUUUUAAGAAAAACACAGUUGUAAGGUUUUAAAAACAAGUGGAGGAGGAAUGGAGUAACUGGUUUAGUGACCUAGUCAGCAGGGAAUGGUAACAGUAAGAGAAAAGUGAAUAAGAGUAAUGGUAUGUACAGCUCCCAAGCAGCUGGCCUUCACACCAGCCUAACUUUGUCAGAAUGCUAUUUCCUACCUCUGUGCACAUUGCAAUCAGCACAGUUCAGAAUACUCAGAGCAACAAAUACACACUUACUUACUGACCCAAAAAUGUAAAGUUAAAGGGAUUCCUUGAAUUAAGGGUAGUUCGCUGGAACAAAACUAUUUGAAUAAGGGAAGUUUUGUCUGCCUUCUCCAAUAGGUAUUUUGCAAAAUGCAAAUGAGUAGCAAAGAAACUCCUUUUCUUUCCUUUUGUUUUUGUUAUACUCAUUUGCAAGUGUGCCAGCAGUUCCCAGCAUUUCCUUACUGUUAUCUCCAGCUCCACAGAACAGCUACUGUUGUAGUGAUCUUGAUAAGGGUGCAGCUGGCAAUGUGACCACUACAUAUCAGUUGUAUGUAACGUGAUAUUUGUUCUCCCCGCUUACAUGGUACAAAAGGCUACUGUAAUGAUCUUUCCUGUUCUCUAUUUACAAAGCAAAUUAAAGAUGAUCCCAUCAGUCCUUUAACUUUACUUCCUUCCUUCUCUCCAGCCAUACCUUGGACCUGUUGUGCCCAGUGAUGCCUAUUGCUUCCACUGGGUCAUUUCAGGGCAACUGUUUUCAGCAGCCCAGCCCUGCAGUAUUCCCUUGCUUGCAACACAGAGAGAAAUUUCAGUGAGACAUCUGACCAAAUGAGAGCAUUUUCAGGUGUGGGGCAAAACCAACAAUUUCAGUGAUUAUUUUGCUCAUCAUCAUUAUUCAGAAUAAGGGUGGAUGAGCAACUGGAUGGCUUACAGAGCAAGGGAAGGGGGGCAGGCCUUUAUUUUACAGUCAUCCAAAUAUAGUCUAUGCUGACAGCGACUGAAGCAACCCUUACGUAAUGGUGCUUCACCAAGUGGAAUAAAAGCAGGGGUGAACUCAGCAUCACUCCUGUCAGACAGAAGGGGAUGGCAUACAUAAGCCUCCUUCACAAUUGGAAUUACCAGGUAGCUUUAUUGGAUGCCUAUUUGGAAAGAGUAAAUAGUAAAUAAUUAGCUCCUGCAGCUCUCUGAAGGCACAUAUGUGCAGAGUGCAACCUGAGAAGCUCAGAGCCUGCAGCGUGCUGGGUCUGGGUGGGACUGCCAGCCCCUGUUUUGGAGAUUCCUGCAGACAGAGUUGUUGCAAACUGCUUUCAAAAGCACUGUCUCACAGGAAAGCUCUUUAACUCAGCCUGAGGCUUUAUCAGGAUUACAGCACUAUCUCUCUUUCAAUGUAUUAGCACCAAAUAGAUUGCACAAACCAGCAGGAACUUUUCACACUUGAAGCUCAAGCUUUUCUCCUGGAACUGAGGAAUAUGAUGGAUGUGCUGCCAUCAGUUUAUUUCAAGCAAAACUGAUAGCCAAUUGAGAGCACAGAAACCUGCUGAAUUAAAUUCAUCUCCUUAAUGGUAUUUAAGCUUUGGCACAAGUAAAUAUUUUUUUAGCAACUAUUAUGAAAUAUAGAGUCAUUAAUUCCCCCAACUAAUGAUUAGACAAAUGCAGUAUUUUCAAUUAGGAUUUAUGUAUACCUUUGCGAGUCAUUUUGUCUGUAAAUACAGACUUUGCAUUCAUCACUAGAAUUAUUCAGCCUUUUUUUUUUUUUUUUUAAUCUGCUUCUUUUUUCUUCUCAACAUGUUACCACGCCUCUGUAGAAGAGCACCAAUGUCUUUACAGCAGGAGCUUCAUAGCUUAAGAUCAGCUUUUUCCCUUCCCUUGGCACCAGUUUGGAGAGAAGCAACCCCAUUCUCAUAGCCCACAUUCAGCUGGAGGUGGGUGAAUGGAGAUACACGAACAUUCAAGACCCUAUCUUCCAGCUGAUACAAGAUGUAGGUGUCUGCCUUCCCAUCAUGAUUUCUAUCCAGCAAAUCUUUCUCAUUCAGAAUUUUGUGGAAGUCUUUUCAUUCGUUAAAAAAAAAGAAAAAAGAAAAAGAAAAGAAAACAAAAAAAAAAGGUAUUUCUCUUAAUUUUCAUCUGUGGUUCCUCUUUCCUAGACUAUGUACCACAAGGAAGAAAAAAGCACCUAAAUAGCUUGAUCAGCCUGGAAGGCUUCUCCCUCCCAGCCUUAAGUCACUCUGUAUUCACAACCUUGCUAAGCGUUUCUUCCUUUUUAUAACAAUACCAGAAGGCCCAGGAACAGGGUGUUGUGGGUUUUUUUUAACUUUCUUAGAUGGGUUCCCAAAAUAUCAUCAAAAUGAUCUCACAAACACAUAACCUACUUCCACACGCAAACAAGCAGGCUGGCUACAGAAUUAUCAGUGAAAAUUCCUUGUCCAGAGGUUCUAGUUCUCACUUCUGUUUUCCCUCAUGAAUUUGGCCAUCAGCAUUAAAUUCCAGAAUCAAUUAAAAUAUGAACCAACAGAGGAAAUGAAGUACAUAAACCCUGCAGAAAAUGGUGAUAGAGGUCGGUAGGCAAUAAUUAUAUACACUUACCAACAAGAGAGCUUGGUCUGUCAUACAGGAAAAAUGCUGAUCAGCGCAUUAUACAGAGAACUGCUUGUAGCUAGAUGUACCCUCACUGUCAUUAGGUGCAGGUGGCAUCAGUCUCGCAGAAAGUUGGCAGUACACC